UCUCAACUCUCAAGGCCACCCACCAGCCCCGCCCAGUCCCUGCGCUCGCUUAUCAGAAACGAGGAGACAGGAGGGAGUUGCAGCGAUCGUUGCCCUCGCGUUGUUUCUUUUUGGUUUCGGUCUGGGCUGCAGAGUGCAGACUACGUAGUUGGGUUGUGAGUCUCAGAAACGAAGGCCCAACUUUUUUGUUUGCCAAGGUAAAGCAAGUUAGCGAUCAGUUUUACCCUUUAUUUAAUCUGCCAUUUGCUACUGUUUGGAGCCAGCGAGCCCGGGCAAGUGCCCAGGGUCGCUGGGUGGUGGCUCCGCCACUGCUCAGAAUAUAGUGUAGUUUGUGAUGUGAUACUUGAAACAGCACCGAAGAGGAGAAAAAAAUAAAAUAUCAGAAAUAUAGACUAUCAGACAAUACACAAAAAAAUUGGAACAAUUUAUUUUAUCAAUUUGUUAAUAAACGAAACUCGUAUGUAAUAAUAUAUAACCUAAUUGCAUUGUGUCAUAUACAUUUAGUUAUUAAAAGUAUAUUACACUUCAAAUUCUACACUUUAUUGACACCAGUGAUAGUUGACUCGGAUAUUUAAUUAAAUUUUAUAUAUUAUUAUGUACCAAAAUAACUUUAUACGAAUAUAAGAAUAUGAAAGAGAAAAAAUAUGCAUCAUGUCCUAGGUUGGCUUUCAAACAUUUAUGAACAAAACAAAAAUAUUACGACCUGAGUCAAAACGCAAAAGGAGUAACAAUUUUCUAUUUUUUGUUAUUUAAGAGAGCUGAACUUUGCAUCUUUUACAUAUGAAACAAAAAAAAUCAUCUUUUUGCAUGAAUUUUUCAUGAAUACAGCAAGCACUAACAUGGGGAAAUAUAUAUAUAAAAAACAGAUCUUUCUAAAAAAAAUUGUCUACCUGUCUAUGGUAUUACUUUUCAUCCGGGGAGCGAGCUAGACGCCACAUACAUUCAUCCAUUCACAUGACAGAAAUGAAUUACUAUAAUUUACCCACGUUCUGAGUGAGGCUGGGUUCGUGAUUGUGCCCGGCCCCGGCCCGUCCAAGCUAGCCCACUUCGCGGCACAUGCAAAGCCCGCCGGGAUCUUGCAAUGUUCCCGAUGAUAGCGACCCGAGACAGAGAGAGAAAUCUAGACAGAGAAGAAGGGGCAGAGAGAGAAAUGUUGUGGGCGCAGCGCAGGGCAGAUGAGACAAGGGAAAAGCCGGCGGUGUGGAGCUACGGCCAAAACCACCGCGGUUUUGGGCGCCCCCGGCCGGGCCACCUUUUGACGUGUUUGUACGCUUGCAUCCGCCACCUUCCGCCAUGGCCCCGCCUCCUAUACAGAGAGAGAAAGAUGUAGAAGAGAGAUGAGACAAAUUAGCAAGCCGGCUAACUACAAAACAGCAUUAUUAAUCAGAGCGCUCAAGUGCUAUGCUAUGUAUGCGUGCCCACGCUAGCAUUAUUCUAGUACGCAAGGCAAGAGAAUCUAGCUAGCCGGAGAAAUGUCUUUUUUACCAGCCAAGGAAUCUUGGUUCUUCCUUAGAGCAAAAUAUAGCUCCAGCUAAUUCGUAGUGGCAGUAGCAGCUAGUGUUAGAGGUACAACGUAGAGGGGUACAGACAACACGAGGAAAGCCAAAGACGAAUGUGAAAGGAAGGAACAAUCAGGCUAGCAGCUUUAGCUACGGCGUGCAUGGAAGAAGAAGAAGAAGGGAGCCCUAGUCGCGGUGCGCCGUGUCCGUCCUACCUCCCCGGCCCCAUCCAUCUUCCAUUCCAUCAACCUUCGUGCUCCACACACGUGCACGUGGUGAGAGUGGUAGUAACAACGAGUGGUAGUAAAAGUAGCUCGCCGGGGUACGUACACUGAUACACGGUGAGAAGCGUGGGUGAAGCUUGCCACCCAUCCAUGCAUGCAUGUGCGGUGUCUCGCUUUUGUGCAUGCAUGAGCAGUGAGAGCUCUCAAGCACCUGUUGCGUCUCCAUCUACCUACACGUUCGAUCCAUGGCUUUAGAGCAACUCUCAAAUGG
rnacentral:lncRNA from 1 species